GGUUCUGGCUCAGAUUGAACGCUGGCGGGAUGCUUUACCAUGCCACAAGUCUGAACGGCACGGACUUCGGUCUGGUGGCGAGUGGCGAACGGGUGAGUAAUGUAUCGGAACGUGCCUAGUGGCGGGGAUAACUACGCGAAAGCCUUCGCUAUACCGCAUACGCCUUCGGGGAAAGCGGGGGGACCUUCGGGCCUCGCACUAUUAGAGCGGCCGAUAUCGGAUUAGCUAGUUGGUGGGGUAACGGCUCACCAAGGCGACGAUCCGUAGCUGGUUGAGAGGACGACCAGCCACACUGGGACUGAGACUACAGCCAGACUCCUACGGGAAGCAGCAGUAGAGGGAAUUUUGGACAGCGGAAGCCUGAUCAACCGCCCGCGUGUGCGAUGAGCCUUCGGGUUGUAAAGCACUUUUGGCGGAAAGAAACGGCACGGGAUAAUACCCGUGCAACUGACGGUACCUGCAGAAUAAGCGCAGCUAACUACGUGCCAGCAACCGCGGUAAUACGUAGGGUGCAAGCGUUAAUCGGAAUACUGGGCGUAAAGCGUGCGCAGGCGGUUCGGAAAGAAAGAUGUGAAAUCCCGGAAGCAACUUUGGAACUGCAUUUUAACUACCGAGCUAGAGUGUGUCAGAGGGAGGUGGAAUUCCGCGUGUAGCAGUGAAAUGCGUAGAUAUGCGGAGGAACACACCGAUAGCGAAGCAGCCUCCUGGGAUAACAUGACGCUCAUGCACAGCGUGGGAGCAAACAGGAUUAGAUACCACGGUAGUCCACGCCCUAAACGAUGUCAACUAGCUGUUGGGGCCUUCGGGCCUUGGUAGCGCAGCUAACGCGUGAGAGUUGACCGCCUGGGAUACGGUGCUGGUCAGAAACUUUCAAAGAAUUGACGGGGACCCGCACAAGCGGUGGAUGAUGUGGAUUAAUUCGAUGCAACGCGAAAAACCUUACCUACCUUGACAUGUCAGGAAUCCCGAAGAGAUUUGGGAGUGCUCGCAAGAGAACCGGAACACAGGUGCUGCAUAGCUGUCGUCAGCUCGUGUCGUGAGAUGUUGGGUUAAGUCCCGCAACGAGGCGCAACCCUUGUCAUUAGUUGCUGCGAAAGGGCACUCUAAUGAGACUGCAGAGUGACAAACCGGAGGAAGGUGGGGAUGACGUCAAGUCCUCAUGGCCCUUAUGGGUAGGGCUUCACACGUCAUACAAUGGUCGGGGCAGAGGGUCGCCAACCCGCGAGGGGAACCAAUCGAAACCCGAUCGUAGUCCGGACCGCAGUCGCAAUGAGCUGCGUGAAGUCGGAAUCCGCUAGUAAUCGCGGAUCAGCAUGUCGCGGUGAAUGCGUUCCCGGGUCUUGUACACACCGCCCGUCACCAUGGGAGUGGGUUUACCAGAAGCCAGUUAGCUCAACCGUAAGGAGGGCGAUUACCACGGUAGGAUUCAUGACUGGGGUGAAGUCGUAACAAAU
rnacentral:rRNA from 1 species